UUUUUCCUCACAGUACCAACUUUGGGAAACUUGUCAAUCAGCUAAUCUGAAGUCUGGACUAUGGAGUGCAGUAUUACUUGUUUGGUCAUCUACAUUCAGAUGAAAACACCACACUCCUCUCUAGUUCAAGAUGUCAAGCCUACUCAUCUCAAGGAGAGUAAGCAUCAAAAUGGAUGUGUCACUGACCAAUAACACAGAGCCAGAAGUAUCUGUUUGCUGUCUACUUUUUAUUCAGUACUAUGGAGCAUCCAAAAGCCAUCACUCAGUUAAUUUCAAUCAGCACUAUUUAACCCUUCCCAGUGCUGAAAUUGUCAUGGGCCCUUUGUUUUUAUUGUUUAAAUGCUUAUCUGAAUGUAAAAUUAACAUUUAAUGCUUAUACAUUUAAAAACAAUACUACUAGUUAGUCUUUUAGCUCCCUUAUCAGAAACAUGUGGUUCACCAUCUCUUAUGGGUUACAGAAUUUGCAAAAGUUGCAGUAUACAAACAAGUUAGACUGCUUGGUUUAUAGGAGAAUAUGGAGUAAAUACUUGACAUUUAUUUAAGGUAAAGGGUAAUGACCUGGUGGUGAGAUGCAAAAUAAGACUGCCAUUAAUAUACUAUUUGAUGACAAACUUUUCACAUUCCCAUUUUACUCAUGUAUUUAUAUAUUUUUAUUUCUUUUUGCAAGUUAACUUUCAAUUUAUUUAUUUGUGC
ensembl:lncRNA